UACAGAGGGUGCAAGCGUUGUUCGGAAUUAUUGGCGUAAAGCGCGUGUAGGCGGCUUUGCAAGUCGGGUGUGAAAGCCCUCAGCUCAACUGAGGAAGUGCGCCCGAAACUGCAGAGCUUGAGUACCGGAGAGGAUGGCGGAAUUCCCCAAGUAGAGGUGAAAUUCGUAGAUAUGGGGAGGAACACCGGUGGCGAAGGCGGCCAUCUGGACGGAUACUGACGCUGAGACGCGAAAGCGUGGGUAGCAAACGGGG
rnacentral:rRNA from 1 species